AAAAUGGGUCUUUGGUUUGAGUCUUCUGUGUUGGUCCUGUUAUUUUAAAGCAAUAUACAUUCGGCAUACUAAGCACUUAUAAAUGUUGGGUAAAUCAAGUUGAGCAUUCAUUUUGGCUACUUUAAGUACAGAGCUCAGGCUGCAUGCUUACAUUUGCAAACUGACAGUAAAAGUGCCGUAACUACAUCAGUGGGUAAUCUUCAGUGACGGACAAAUCACUGUCACAAUGUUUCAAAUCAGAUUUUGAACUACAGGGCAUGUUAGUGCUAAUAAUACAAGACAAACUAAAAAAAAAAGAGAGGGGGUCACAUGUUUUAAAGCCCAGAAUCCUAAAGGGAAGCCAGCACAAGCACUCGGUCUAAGACACUUACAUUGCAUUAGAUGUGCCUGAAAAGGGGGAAAUGGUACUUUAUGUAUAACAUCAUUCUUAACAUUUAAGCAAAUGUAAACAUUUAUUUGCUAAAACAGCCAUGUAGUAUACCAGAACAGUCCCCCACUGCUUAUGUUCCCCAAUGCUGUAUGUUUAAAAAUACAGUGUUUUUCUGCAUCUGCUUACAUUUUGCAGAAAUCAAGCCAGCGUGGUUUUUAGUGAUUCUGGUCCACAAUAUUCUGGAGCAACUCAAAUAUUCAAGCACAAUAAAGUAGCAUUUUGCAGUUUAUCCAUAGUGAGUGCAGCAAUACAUACUUUACAAGGGCAACUGGAGUACAAACUGAAAGUGAAAUUUUAAAAAAGAAAAAAGAAGCAAUUUAAGAGCCAGGGUUAGUCUGUCACAAUUACGAAGGCUUUGUUGGUCUUUCCUCAGUGGGCAUUGCAAGCUAAAUAUAAAGUCUGACCUACCUUUUUCUUUCUCUUGGUCAGGAUGGCCAUCACACUCUUAAGGCCUUUUUGUAUACACUUUGUAUGUAGAGCCCUCAGGGUGAGAGUGAGAGAAGGCAAGAGGGAGAAAGAAAAGCAUUUAUUAUGUUUGAAAUGAAAGCUCAUGUCCAAAAGGCAUGGUUAUCAAAAUUAUGAUAAAUGUACAAAUUUAAAAACAAGUUGCUGAUUUAGUUUCUGCUCUUUUAUCGAAAAUUUUUUCAUGUUAUACGCUGUUCACUGCAUCAUAAGUGAGACUGCAUAAAUCUGAAUAUUGGACUUUUGCAGGAAAGCACAUUGUGUUCCAUGUAACACUUUCAUUUCCAUUAAAGUUUUAGAUUUAAUAUGUGCAUGUUCCGAUAAGACAAAAGGCCCUCCAUUUGAAAGGCUAACGACUGUGUUCCAACAGAAUAAUGAGAAAGAAAAAUGUUGCAAAAUGCAAAAUUGUGUAUUUUUACAGAGCCCUUAUUUUCACAAUCAAAAUGUAUUUCGUCAGUUGUAAUCAGGAUAAAACCUGUUUUUUAUUUCUCAUCAUCGUCCUCUGAGCGCAAACAGACACACUUUCUAGCGUUCACAAGUUUAAAAGACUCAACGAGGAUGUUUUCAAGAAACUUGCCAAAGCCAUCCGGUAAGUUAAUUAAAUGUGUUGGUUUGUUAUCAGAACACGGUGUAGAUGUCUGCUGCUGGUUACCGUAUAAAAACAAAGUAGAAUGCACAAGUUGAUUUACACACAUGGAUCUAAUCUGAUCUAAACUGACAAGUAUGCACAUAGUGACAAUGUCACAUUCAAGUGCUAACACAUUUUAUUAUUCUAAAAAUAGUCUUUUAAAAAAUGUUAAUAUGAAGAAUUUAUACUUGGUAGCAGUAAUAGUAGUGCAUAUAUAGUACUAUUUAAUAAUAGAAGGGGUGGUGGUGGUAGUGUCUGUGAAAAGUAUAAACUAUUGAAAAUAACUUGUUGCAGUUUAACGUAGCCUUAUUUUACGUUUCAUUUAAAUCUUGUUUUGCUCUUCUGUCUCUAGCCGAUUGGAAAUUUGUCACGAGUCCCGGUGUGAUCAAAUUUUCCUUUAGCACUUGAAUCAGGCUAAGAGAGAGUCUGGAAAAGGGGGAGGAGAAGUGAGACCCUUAAGAGAAGAUGGUCUUCAAUCAGCACUGAACAACCUACAACCUGACCCCAAGUGAAAGGCUUCUGGGCUCACUGUGUCUCUGGGAAUACUUGCCAAAAGCUGCAAAGUGAACAAUGUUGUAGAACUGAAGUGACAAUAAAAACUUUGCAUUUAAGAGAUUUGUUUGUAAUCCAUUAAUUUACAUGGCUAACACCUCAAAAUUAAUUUGUCUCUUAAAGUUUGUAGUGGGCUUGAAAGACACAUUAUUAAUUUUAUAAAAACAUAACUUGAAUGUAGCAUACACACCCUAGAUCUGCAGUGCAAAUGUUGGAGCAACCAAUGGACUACCUAAUGAUGUAUGCAGGAAACAUGCUUUAAUGGUUAAGGCUGUCUAAAUGUGCAUUUACUAUUUAGUGAAAAGCCAAGAGGUCCUCAGAUGACGAAAGGGUGGAACUCUAAGUGGUUGAAGCAAUUAGACCAGUAUUAAUGUAGUUCUAAUAAAUGUCAAAAUGUGUCCUUGCAUGCAGAAAUGUGUACUUUAAUAUUUCAUUUCAAUUCUAAAGGGUUCAAAAUCCUUAUUUUGAACCUUGCGUCCCCAUAUUUUAAACUGAUGCUACUCCUAGAGAUGGUGUCUUACUCUAAAUCUCAGACUAAAUGUCUCUUCUUUCAGCCCAGUGUAUAAGCUUAUUCGUGAUGGUUCAUAUGUAUAUUUGCCUGUUUCUGUUUUUAAAAAAGCUUGUAUAACAGGGUGUACAAUGCCAUCAUAUUCACUAGAUGGUGCCAUUGCACUGCCAGGCUGCAUAAUACCUCUUCAGAGUAUACAGGGUUUUGAUCCUUCACUCAGUUCUGUGUGUGCAAACUGACUUCCUACCACUGUAUGAGGAUGUUCAUGUAUGCAUUAUUUCCAUAUGCCUGUAAGCACCAGCUGGGGGUGGAAUAUUUGAAACAGUUUGACAGCGGUUUUGUUCCACUGUAAACUGUAACUGUACAGGUUACAUUCCAUUAUUAAAAUUUCUGACAUUCCGGGUGAGACUUUUGUUUGCACAGGGUUUAGUAGCUGGGCAAAACCAGCUCCUUCUAUCAUCUCCUAGCACUGUAAAUUAUGCAUUGUGUUUCCUGGUUGUAACCUGGUUUUCGAUGUUGUAGAAAUCAAUCUUCCUAUCUGAAUCUUGGCAAGAAAACAGAUACUUGUGUUUUCUCACACUUGAAAUCGCUCCAAAGUAGAAGCCAGUUAAUUUGUAAAACAUGACUAUACAGUUGUCGAAAAACCUAACUUUGGGGGGGGGGUUUAAAUGGUGCUAAAUCACUUGCUACAAUGCCCAUACCCUGUAGUAAUGCAAUAAUAAUGAUAAUCUCAUUCUCAUUUCAUUUCAGUACUAAAGCAAUAUUUGUUUCCAUAUUGGUGCCUGGGAGAAUGGAUGAAUCAGCUGGGAGUCAUCUGGAUGUUAGAGAUUGUCUGGAAUAAAACUAUUUCCCCAAGCUAGUGUCUGAAUUUAGGCUGCGUACAGUAAAACUGAUUUUUAUGUCUGUGCUGAGAUGUAGUAAUGUUCCCCGUGGUUGUGUGAAAUUCACUGGCUGCUCGUUUCGCUCCAAACUCAGUUUUUACAAACCAUUUGAAAAGAGGAAACUGCUUUGUUUUUGUCUCUUUUUAAGACGUCUCUGUAGGCUCCGUGUUCUGGAUAACAGAUUUAAAAAUAAACUUAAAGAUCCACAGA